AGAGUUUGAUCCUGGCUCAGGACGAACGCUGGCGGCGUGCUUAACACAUGCAAGUCGAACGAUGAAGCCUAGCUUGCUAGGUGGAUUAGUGGCGAACGGGUGAGUAAUACGUGAGUAACCUACCUUUAACUCUGGGAUAAGCCUGGGAAACUGGGUCUAAUACCGGAUACGACCAAUCUCCGCAUGGGGUGUUGGUGGAAAGCGUUAUGUAGUGGUUAUAGAUGGGCUCACGGCCUAUCAGCUUGUUGGUGAGGUAAUGGCUCACCAAGGCGACGACGGGUAGCCGGCCUGAGAGGGUGACCGGCCACACUGGGACUGAGACACGGCCCAGACUCCUACGGGAGGCAGCAGUGGGGAAUAUUGCACAAUGGGCGCAAGCCUGAUGCAGCGACGCCGCGUGAGGGAUGACGGCCUUCGGGUUGUAAACCUCUGUUAGCAGGGAAGAAGAGAGAUUGACGGUACCUGCAGAGAAAGCGCCGGCUAACUACGUGCCAGCAGCCGCGGUAAUACGUAGGGCGCGAGCGUUGUCCGGAAUUAUUGGGCGUAAAGAGCUUGUAGGCGGUUUGUCGCGUCUGCUGUGAAAGGCCGGAGCUUAACUCCGUGUAUUGCAGUGGGUACGGGCAGACUAGAGUGCAGUAGGGGAGACUGGAAUUCCUGGUGUAGCGGUGGAAUGCGCAGAUAUCAGGAGGAACACCGAUGGCGAAGGCAGGUCUCUGGGCUGUAACUGACGCUGAGAAGCGAAAGCAUGGGGAGCGAACAGGAUUAGAUACCCUGGUAGUCCAUGCCGUAAACGUUGGGCACUAGGUGUGGGGAACAUUCCACGUUUUCCGCGCCGUAGCUAACGCAUUAAGUGCCCCGCCUGGGGAGUACGGCCGCAAGGCUAAAACUCAAAGGAAUUGAC
rnacentral:rRNA from 1 species